rnacentral:rRNA from 1 species
UACAGAGGUCCCGAGCGUUGUUCGGAUUCAUUGGGCGUAAAGGGUGCGUAGGCGGCGGGGCCAGUCUGAUGUGAAAUCCCGGGGCUCAACCCCGGAACUGCAUUGGAUACUGCCUUGCUAGAGUACUGGAGAGGGAACUGGAAUUUACGGUGUAGCAGUGAAAUGCGUAGAGAUCGUAAGGAAGGCCGGUGGCGAAGGCGAGUUCCUGGACAGUUACUGACGCUGAGGCACGAAGGCCAGGGGAGCAAACGGG